rfam:Felis catus isolate Cinnamon breed Abyssinian chromosome B1, whole genome shotgun sequence.
GCCUGGCUGGCUCAAUCAGUAGAGCAUGUUACUCUUAAUCUCAGAGUCAUGAGUUCAAGCCCCAUGUUGAGCU